rnacentral:rRNA from 1 species
AUUGAACGCUGGCGGCAUGCCUUACACAUGCAAGUCGAACGGUAACGGGCCUUCGGGUGCCGACGAGUGGCGAACGGGUGAGUAAUACAUCGGAACGUGCCCGAUCGUGGGGGAUAACGAGGCGAAAGCUUUGCUAAUACCGCAUACGAUCUACGGAUGAAAGCAGGGGACCGCAAGGCCUUGCGCGGACGGAGCGGCCGAUGGCAGAUGAGGUAGUUGGUGGGAUAAAAGCUUACCAAGCCGACGAUCUGUAGCUGGUCUGAGAGGAUGAUCAGCCACACUGGGACUGAGACACGGCCCAGACUCCUACGGGAGGCAGCAGUGGGGAAUUUUGGACAAUGGGCGCAAGCCUGAUCCAGCCAUGCCGCGUGCAGGAUGAAGGCCUUCGGGUUGUAAACUGCUUUUGUACGGAACGAAAAGCCUUCUUUUAAUACAGGAGGGUCAUGACGGUACCGGAAGAAUAAGCACCGGCUAACUACGUG